ACGCAAGCGAGCGAGUCGCGUAGCACAAAGCAAAAAGAUACAAAAAAAAUAAACUAAACGUACGCUUAGAACUCCAGAGUUUUGUUAGCCAGUGUGUGACUUAGUUCGACGCUUCAGGCCAGCGAUAGUUGUUGCUGCUGCUGUUGCUGUUGUUGGUGGCGCGUUCGAAUUUUUUUGUGUACGUCGCUUUUGGUGGUGGUUACCUGUCGUGUUGGCCACGUUUGUGUCGAUCCGAUCAGUGCACCGUCAGCGAGCGGCGCGCGCAGUUCGUCGUUCGUCCCCAGCAACAGUCACACAGUCAACAGUCAACAGUCAGCAGACAGCAGUCGAGCGGCAAUAGCGCCAGCUGCGAGCGAGCCAGAGAUAUCACACACAACACACACACACACAACAACAAGCAAAAGUGUUAGAUAAACUGAUAAUACAAUAGCAAAAUAGAAAUAGACAUGCACAGAAACGUGGCGCAAAAAACAACAACAACAACAACAAUAAGAACUCAACAAACAACAAUAAAACGAAAAAAAAAAAGAAAACUAUAUAUUAAAAAAACAACGAGAAAUGAGCAACGUCAACGGCGAAAACGGAGAACGGCAAAAGCACAGCGCACAGCGCACAGUGUCAAUAAAACUCUCGAAUUCAUUAACACAACACAAAACGUUCUAUUAGUAAGCACUUGCAAAUUUUGUGCUCCACAACGAGAAGGCGAGAGGAGUCGAGAAGAAAGCGAGGACAACACAGCGGAGCAUCGCAGCGUAGAGAAGAAGAGUCAAGCAGAGCAAAAAAUUAGCGUUGAGAGACCCUAUCGAAUUGGGAGAAGCAACAGCAACAGCAACACCAACUUGUUCAACAGCAACAGUUGAAAGGUCUAAGCUAUCAAAUAGAGGAGAGCACUGCAAACACACACACACAUACACAUGGACUCAGCGACUGGCAUAAAACACCUCAUAAACGUCAGACGCCAGACAGAAGAGACUCUCAAAAAGUUAGAGCCCAUAAUAAAAAUCAACAGCGACAACAACAACAACUACAACAGCAGCAUCAGCAGCAACAGCAGCCGCAACAUGAGCAGCAACAAAAGUAACAACAACAGCAGCAACAAAAGCAACUGCUGACCGUUGUGUCCUUGGCCUCCAAAAGGGCAGCGCAACAACGCAACAUCAAUGGGGGCAAAAAUAGAGGCUGGCGGCAUUUGACAUUUCCCCGGAGUCCUUUUUGCGGUGCAUUUGCGACAAAUGGAGCGAAGUUUUGUGGCAGUGUUCUCUUGCAGACAACUUGAACAUGUCAAUCACGAUGUGAAUGUGGACUUGCGAAAUGGCCGCGAGACGCUUCCUGUUGGGUAAGCUGAUGCUGCUGUUGAUACCUGAUACAUGAGACAACUAGGCAAGUAGAAGACAGUCAAGACAGACAGACAGACAGUCAAGGGGCAGUCAGAUUGAUGUUUAGUCAAAGCAAAUGCCAAUGCCAAGAGUUUGACAAAAAACUUGACUUGAACACGCACACGCAGAGGCACAGUUGACCCUGCCUAAAGCGACCCCUCGCUGACCUUUACCGCCUGCCGCGACUAAUUUAUCAAAUAAAAGCAAAGCGAAAUUGAAUGUCGGUUCAGAGACGACGACGACAACGACGAUGCAUAAUUAAGCUAAAAGGAAAAGACACAGAGCGAAAGGAAGGCAGCGCUAUAGCGCUAUAUUAUGUUUUUUUUACCUCUUUUUUUGGGGGUCUACAAAUGCGUUUUUAAACCAUUGAGCAACGCCUCUUUCUAACAGUUUUUUUGUUAUUAGUUGUGGUUUCCAUUCGGCUGUUUGAUUUUUGUUAAUUGCCGCUUAUUAAUCUUAGGGCUAUUUCGCUGUGGCCUGUUUAAUGGUCUUGCAAACAAAAAUUCUAAUUAAUGAAAUAUUCGGGGAGAAAAAGAAAAAGCCACAUUUUGUUAAACACAAAACAAAAUUCCAAAAACGAAACUAUUCUGGCCAUUGUUUGGACGUCUUUCGACAAUUAAUCAAAAAGAACAGGCUCAGAAUCCACAAAAAGAGAAAAAAAAACUGUAGAAUCUUCCAAUAGACAAAGCCUAGGCAUUGUCUAUGAGAUUGCUCGACGAUCUUGCUCAGUGCGGCGCAUUGACAAAUUUGUUGGCAACUUGCAGCUUCAAAUUAAGUCAUCAAUCAUUUUGUGCUGUGAUAUCAAAGCAGCCGCGCUUUGAUUAAACUGAAAAUUGAAAUUGAAAUUGAGGGGCGACAUUCAUAAUCAAAUGAUAUUGAAAGUCAAGAUGGUGGUCCAAACACAGAUCUCUCUCCCAUUCGAAUUGACGUUGGUACAGUUUGAGUUGCUAACGAGUUGAGUUGAUUCGAGUAGACGUAGUUGUAUUUUCUGUGUUUGUAGAGUUGAAAGUUGCCAGGUAGAUAUCGCAUGUGAUUGAAAUGAAAUAUAAAAUUACAUUAAAUUACCGGAUGUAAUUGCGGUGGUCGUGCCAGUCGCUCAACUCAACCCAACUCGACUCAACUCGACUGAACGCAACGCAACUUAACUGAGCUCAGUCUCAGUAGCAGAGCGUCUGUCUGCUCUCUUGCUCUGGUCAAUGAAUCAUGGCCAAAACGAAGUGCGACGCAAUUGUAGUCAGGGCAGUUGGGACAACAGGGCAGCAAAAAAAAAGCACAAAAAAACAAAAGACUCUGGCAACGAACUUGAAGCACUUGGCGUGGGCGCACGCUCUCAUGACCAAAAACGAAACAAGAAAACAGGAGAAGAAGUUGAAGCAGCAGAGGGCAGUUUCUACAUGUGUGUGUGCAAACCCACGCUGCACUUUAAAAACUCGUAAAAACAAACAAACACACACACACACACACAGAAGCGCACGCUGUGGGCCUCGCAAGUCAAUGACAUUUGUCGUAUCUUAUCAGAGGCAAACGAUUUUGUCAAACGAGCAGCAGCAACGACAACAACGACAACGACGACAACUGCCGGCACAUUAAAUGCCACUUUUUCACGCCACACGACAUUUUCAAUGCGCAUUUAGUUGUCAAUUAUUUUUGAUAGCCAGUCGCAUGCCGAUAAGAACACACACAUAUAGCAUGUCUGGUUUUUGUUUCUUUAGUUGCAGUGGCAGCGGCGUAGCAUCCAAGAUUUGCAUAUUGAGCGGUUGUUUGUAUUUGCCAGCGUUUUGAGCCGCAGCGGUAUUAGCCCAUUUUGGGCAGCGACUUUCUAAGGCUAAAGCACACAACUGGUUAAAAAGGCAUAAGAUAGUUACUUGCGACUGACACAAAUCGCUGACAGUUUGCAGCUUUCGAGUUAAUUUAUGAGUGAGAUGUCGAGAGAUCUGGCCUAAAGUAUGCGGUCAACAAUCAUGGCCAAAACUAAAUUGAAGCCAUUCGUCACGAAAUCUCAAUAAACUCUUCAAUGAAAAACUAAAAAUUAAAAAUAAUAAGCCACAAUUAUUGCCAUAGAUUGACAUAUUUUCGUGAAGAUAAAUUUAAUUGCAGGCUUCCAUAUUUUUGUUAGCUUCCUUUCGAAUUUAUUUAAUGUGCAAUUGAUUUAUGGCAGUAACAACUCAUUUAAAGUUGACUGCUAGCUCAAUACGGUAUUAAUAAUAAAUUAAAAGAAUUAUAUUUACUAGAAGUAUUAGUUUUACAUUAAGUUUAAUUUGAGUGCUUCGAAUAAUAAUUUAUUGUCUGCUCAUUUUGUUUUUUGGUUUAAAUGCUUCGAAUAAUAAUUUAUUGUCUGUACAUUUUCGUAUAAUUUUUAAAUUGGUAUUCAAUUUAUAAUGUGAAAUUAUCAUCAGUUUCACUCAGCAUCGUAAUGCCGUGGAAAAUUGCAUUUGUUCACAUGCUUCGAUGUUGUACAAUCAGAGCAACUCUUUGUGACCCAUAUAAAAGAUUUCAAUUGAAAAUAUAUGUAUAUGUGUGUUUGCGUGUAACACAAAGCGUGCAACAAUUUUCGUUGAAAACAAUUUGCAGCAAGCAAACACAGGCGGAGAAACAGACUGAAAAAAAUGAAAAUAAAUAUUUUCGCAGUGCAUAUGCCACGCACGUAGCAAAAGCAACACAACUGUGCAACAGCAGACAGAGAGACAGACAGAGAGACAAUCAGACAAUCAUGCACAUAAUCAUGCCAUCAAUAUAUGGCAAUUAUCAAUGAAAUUUAUAACAAUCCACGAAAUGUAACGAAAACAUAACCGACCAAUAAAAAUUUCAUUUUCAUAAAGCAGGCAUCUCAAAAUCAGGAAUUGCGAAUGAGAAUGAGAACGAGAACGCUGGAGCAGCUGCAGCAGCAACCAAUGUGAAUGCCGCGUGCUGUGUCCAGUUCAGUUCGUCAUACUCAAAACAUGAUGUUGUAUUUCUUGUUGUUGGCUGCGUUGUUGCUUGUUGCCUGUUGCCUGCUGCCUGUGAUCUGCAUCAUAAAAACGUGCCAGAUUGAUGCGUGAUUGAAAUGCCAAUUGGCUCAAAAAAAAAAAGUCUCAAGUUGUAGAUGAAGCUGAAGUUGCCUCGUUAUUGUUGUGUUGUGUUUGAGGCACGUCGUUUGCUACAACUCAGAAUCGGACUUGGACUCGGAUUCAAACUCGGACUCUCGAGUGGUAGAAGCGCGUGUGGUUACCGUUAAGGCCUGCUUAAGAGGCGUCUUCAUACCUAAAAACACGUAUCUUCAAUCUUUUCGCUCUGUCUUCCUCUCUCAGUUUGCAUUGUCAUUGCAGACAAUUAGAACUGGCUUUGAUUCCGUACAGAAUAGAGAGCAUAGAGCAUUUGACUGCAAUUUGCUUAAAAAGGCCGCGUUGAUAAACGAUAAAACAGUUUGCUUACUGUUACCUUUUGGCCAUAUACGACAACGAUGAUGACGACGAUGUUGUUGUUACCGAUUUCCGUCGCUUACCGUUCUUAGUUGAGUUGAGUUGAGUUCUUGUCCAUGACAUGGUCAAGACCAUGACUAGUUUCUUUUCUGCUUUUUCUUUUUAUGUUCUACUCUUUGCUUGCCGGGUAACUGCACUCUGCUAAGCAGCUUGUAAUGCUGGAAAAACGAAAUGAAACAACAGAAAUGUGACAAAGAAGGAAACGUGAAAAAUGAGAGAAAACAAACUGUCAACGCACAUAAUAGCCAAAAAAAAUUCUUAAGAGCAUUUAUAAAUUAUUUCGGUUACAACAAGAUAACAACAACUAUAAGCAGCUUUAUGCUGAAAAGCUAUUCAAGACUAAUAGACUGAUAAAUCGAACUUUUUCUGAAGGUUGACUGUUAGUAAAAAGUGUUUUAAAAAGUUUUGAAUUCAAAUUUAAAAAGCGAGCAAAAUAUCUUUAUAAAAUCGUAUGUUAGAUACGAUCUGGAAAGUUUUUUGCUAAAUUAAAAAAGAAUAUAUAAAUAUCCCUAUUUGCUGUCAAUACAGAACUACUUCAUCCUUGGUAGUGCAAUAAGACUUCCAUAUUAGAACGCCUUUCUUGUUGCUCGAGGUAUUCCUAUUAAUAUUUAUGCGUUUUGCCGAUGACGCUUUGGCUGGCUGUGAUGAAUGAGUUUUGCGCUGCUGUGCUGUGCUGUGGCAGCAGCUGCAGCUGGAAUCUUGAAUCUUGGCGGAGCAACUGGCGCCAAGUGAACGGCGACAUUCGACGGGCGGCCAACAGCCAACUGCCAACUUCCAACUAUCAAGUGCCAAGUGGCAAGUUGCUGGCCUGGCCAUGUAGGGCAGGCAACGACUACUAACAAUCAAUGAAAGAGAGACAGAGAGAGAGAGAGCGAUCGACUGUAAAUGACUCUCUAAGUCCAUCUCUUUCCAGUUGCUGUCUGUCUGUCUAGCUCAGUGGCAACAAAUUGACCAUUUCAAUUAAUGAAAAACGCACUUAAACAUUAAAGAGUUGUUCGGACUGUCCGUAGCAGGGUCUUCAAGUGUUGGCGCUAAUGAUGCGAUGAGAUGCGCGUGGAUGCGAUGCGAAAUGGAGAUGGAGAUGGGGCUGCGAAUGGAGAUGAAGAUGCCGAAGUUGCCACGCUGCGAAGCUGCGAGAUGCGAGAUGUGAGAUGUGGAGACAUGUAACAGCGUAGACCGCUCACAUUUGCAUAUUUUGUUGUCGGUUUGUCUUUCUUCAGCUGCCUUUUUUUCAUUUUCGCUCUGACGCCGAUGAUUAUUGCCGGGGCCAGAGAUUAAGCGCGUAAAUUUGUCGUUAAAAAUCAUGUUCAGAUAUUGCGAGGAGAUUGAGGGGAAAACAGGCGAGGGGCGAGGAAGGGGGAACGAUGUUAACUGCGACACGCGAUUACGUUAGCGGGCUGCCUUGAGAAAUGGUCAAACAGCAGCUGUUGAGUUUUUAACUGUUUCGCGUCGUUGCUGUUGUUGUUGUUGUUUGUUGUCGUCCGAGUGGAGGUUUGAUUGCGCCGCUUUUUGAUUGAUGGCUGUCGCCUCACGACGCAUGCUCGGCAUGUCUAUGAUGCGAAGACGGUCAGACUGACUGACUGACUAUCUGACGAACUUGCCUAGCUGCCUAUAACUGCCUAACUGACUGACUUCCAGACUGACUGCCUGACUGCCUGACUGACGUACUGAUUUACCGUUGCCUGAUAAGCAGCACACAACACACAAAAAAGUGGCAAUUACAUGAAAUGGAGCAGCCGAAAUUCGGCAUUCGACAUUUCGCCAUUUCGCUAUUUUGGGCAUUUGCAUAAAUUGGCCGCAACGAAGCGAAACAUAGCGAAGCGAAACGAAAGACUUAGGCAACAAACUCGAUUACAAUUUGCCAUCUCGCAUCUCGCUUUCUUCGUGACUAAUUUACGGCGACGUUUUCCCAGCCCCAGAGCACAACAGCCAACCAAAGUCAGAGACCAGAGGUCAUUUGUAAUUCACCAACCAAGCAAUGAACCAACGAAAAAACCAAAAAAAUAGCAGUCAAAGCAAUUUUCGAUGUUACAAUUUUUUGCUAGGCAACAGCUCAAUUUCGUUGUGCCCCCAAUUUCGUGGCAGCGAUCGCCUUGGCUCAGUGAAGCGCAAUCGCGCAUUGAAAUACAUUAAACUGCGCUGCUUAAUUAGCUAAGCUAACAUGA